rnacentral:tRNA from 1 species
GAUAGCGUGGCCGAGCGGUCUAAGGCGCUGGAUUUAGGCUCCAGUCUCUUUGGAGGCGCUGCGUUCGAAUCCCACCGCUGUCA